GGGACCAACAACCCUGUAGUCGUAAUAUGCCUCGAGCACCCUGCUCUAUCUAGAAGGUCCAGUGAAUAUGGAAUGACUACCCCAACUCAAUGAUCCAAAUUGAAUAUGCCUCUGUGGCCGACCAGUACUCUAACCAUUGGAACCACUAUAACCGACUAACCCCUAUCUAAUAUCUGAAACAAUUCCUGAAUUGGCCGACUAGGCUGACCCUAAUACUG
rnacentral:lncRNA from 1 species